GAUGAAGAACGUAGCGAAAUGCGAUGAGUAAUGUGAAUUGCAGAAUUCAGUGAAUCAUCGAAUCUUUGAACGCACAUUGCGCCCCUUGGUAUUCCGAGGGGCAUGCCUGUUCGAGCGUCAUUACACCACUCAAGCUAUGCUUGGUAUUGGGCGUCGUCCUUAGUUGGGCGCGCCUUAAAGACCUCGGCGAGGCCACUCCGGCUUUAGGCGUAGUAGAAUUUAUUCGAACGUCUGUCAAAGGAGAGGAACUCUGCCGACUGAAACCUUUAUUUUUCUAGGUUGACCUCGGAUCAGGUAGGGAUACCCGCUGAACUUAAGCAUAUCAAUAAGCGGAGGA
rnacentral:misc_RNA from 1 species